UACGUAGGGUGCAAGCGUUAUCCGGAAUUAUUGGGCGUAAAGAGCUCGUAGGCGGUUUGUCGCGUCUGCUGUGAAAACUCGGGGCUCAACCGCCAGCCUGCAGUGGGUACGGGCAAACUAGAGUGCGGUAGGGGAGACUGGAAUUCCUGGUGUAGCGGUGGAAUGCGCAGAUAUCAGGAGGAACACCGAUGGCGAAGGCGGGUCUCUGGGCCGUUACUGACGCUGAGAAGCGAAAGCGUGGGGAGCGAACAGG
rnacentral:rRNA from 1 species